rnacentral:rRNA from 1 species
UAGUCCACGCUGUAAACGAUGAUCACUAGAUGUCCGGCGCUUCGGCGCUGGGUGUCCAAGCGAAAGCGAUAAGUGAUCCACCUGGGGAGUACGUUCGCAAGAAUGAAACUCAAAGGAAUUGACGGGGGCCCGCACAAGCGGUGGAGCAUGUGGUUUAAUUAGAUGAUACGCGAGGAACCUUACCUAGGCUCUAAUGCGAGCGCUAUCUGGUGAAAGCCGGAGUUCCUUCGGGACGCGAAGCAAGGUGCUGCAUGGUUGUCGUCAGCUCGUGCCGUGAGGUGUUGGGUUAAGUCCCGCAACGAGCGCAACCCCUAUCUUUAGUUGCCAGCAAGUAAUGUUGGGGACUCUAAAGAGACUGCCGGCGUAAGCCGCGAGGAAGGUGGGGAUGACGUCAAAUCAUCAUGGCCUUUAUGCCUAGGGCUACACACGUGCUACAAUGGCCAGUACUGAGGGUCGCAAACUCGCGAGAGUAAGCCAAUCCCAGAAAGCUGGUCCCAGUUC